rnacentral:rRNA from 1 species
UACGAAGGGGGCUAGCGUUGCUCGGAAUCACUGGGCGUAAAGCGCACGUAGGCGGCUUACUAAGUCAGGGGUGAAAUCCUGGAGCUCAAACUCCAGAACUGCCUUUGAUACUGAGGAUCUUGAGUUCGGGAGAGGUGAGUGGAACUGCGAGUGUAGAGGUGAAAUUCGUAGAUAUUCGCAAGAACACCAGUGGCGAAGGCGGCUCACUGGCCCGAUACUGACGCUGAGGCACGAAAGCGUGGGGAGCAAACAGG